CGCGAAUGGCUCAUUACAACAGCCGUUGUUUCUUGGAUCUUGAUUUACUUGGAUAACUGUGGUAAUUCUAGAGCUAAUACAUGUGAAAAAGCUCCAACCUUACGGAAGGAGUGCAUUUAUUAGACCAAGACCAAUCAGGCUUUGCCUGUAAUCUGGUGACUCUGAAUAACUUUGCUGAUCACACGGUCCUAGCACCGGUGACAUAUCUUUCAAGUGUCUGCCCUAUCAACUUUCGAUGGUAGUUUACGUGCCUACCAUGGUUGUAACGGGUAACGGAGAAUAAGGGUUCGACUCCGGAGAGGGAGCCUGAGAAAUGGCUACCACAUCCAAGGAAGGCAGCAGGC
rnacentral:rRNA from 2 species